rnacentral:rRNA from 1 species
GAGUUUGAUCUUGGCUCAGAUUGAACGCUGGCGGCAGGCCUAACACGUGCAAGUCGAGCGGAUGAAGGGAGCUUGCUCCUGGAUUCAGCGGCGGACGGGUGAGUAAUGCCUAGGAAUCUGCCUGGGUAGUGGGGGAUAACGUCCGGAAACGGGCGCUAAUACCGCAUACGUCCUGAGGGAGAAAGUGGGGGAUCUUCGGACCUCACGCUAUCAGACGAGCCUAGGUCGGAUUAGCUAGUUGGUGGGUAAAGGCUACCAAGGCGACGAUCCGUAACUGGUCUGAGAGGAUGAUCAGUCACACUGGAACUGAGACACGGUCCAGACUCCUACGGGAGGCAGCAGUGGGGAAUAUUGGACAAUGGGCGAAAGCCUGAUCAGCCAUGCCGCGUGUGUGAAGAGGUCUUCGGAUUGUAAAGCAC